AGUAAAAUGGCUGAGGUUAAGCGGUAAACUGUAAAUUUACCAACGAGUAUUUAACUCUUUUACUA
rnacentral:tRNA from 1 species